rnacentral:rRNA from 1 species
AAUAUUGGUCAAUGGACGCAAGGCUGAACCAGCCACGUCGCGUGUAGGAAGACGGCCCUUCGGGUUGUAAACUUCUUUUGUAAGGAAAUAAAGCGAGUCACGCGUUACUUUUUGCAUGUACCUUACGAAUAAUGAUCGGCUAACUCCGUGCCAGUUGCCGCGGUAAUACGGAGGAUCCGAGCGUUACCCGGAUUUAUUGGGUUUAAAGGGUGCGCAGGCGGGAGUUUAAGUCGGCGGUGAAAUUUUGCAGCUCAACUGUAAAAGUGCCUUCGAAACUGGUUAACUUGAGUGUAGAUGAAGUAGGUGGAAUUUGUGGUGUAGCGGUGAAAUGCAUAGAUAUCACGAGGAACUCCGAUUGCGCAGGCAGCUUACUAAGAUACUACUGACGCUCAGGCACGAAGGCGUGGGGAUCAAACAGG